rnacentral:rRNA from 1 species
CCUACGGGAGGCAGCAGUGAGGAAUAUUGGUCAAUGGACGCAAGUCUGAACCAGCCAUGCCGCGUGCAGGAUGACGGCCCUAUGAGUUGUAAACUGCUUUUGUACGAGGGUAAACCCCGAUACGUGUAUCGGGUUGAAAGUAUCGUACGAAUAAGGAUCGGCUAACUCCGUGCCAGCCGCCGCGGUAAUACGGAGGGUGCGAGCGUUAAUCGGAAUUACUGGGGGUAAAGGGCUCGUAGGCGGUAUGGCAAGUCAAGGGUGAAAUCCCCGGGCUUAACGUGGGAACUGCCUUUGAAACUGGCGAACUUGAGUGUGUGAGAGGUAUGUGGAAUUCGUGGUGUAGAGGUGAAAUCCAUAGAUAUCUGGCAGAACAUCAGUGGCGAAGGCGGCUAUCUGGCACCUAACUGACGCUGAGGAGCGAAAGCGUGGGUAGCGAACAGGAUUAGAUACCCGAGUAGUC